UGGAUCAGUGAUGACCACUGGUGGCAUAUGAGUCGUACGCAAUAAAUAUGUGUGUGGAACUCUGAGGUCCAA
ensembl:snoRNA